AGAGUUUGAUCCUGGCUCAGAUUGAACGCUGGCGGCAUGCCUUACACAUGCAAGUCGAACGGCAGCACGGGGGCAACCCUGGUGGCGAGUGGCGAACGGGUGAGUAAUACAUCGGAACGUGUCCUGUAGUGGGGGAUAGCCCGGCGAAAGCCGGAUUAAUACCGCAUACGCUCUACGGAGGAAAGGGGGGGAUCUUAGGACCUCCCGCUACAGGGGCGGCCGAUGGCAGAUUAGCUAGUUGGUGGGGUAAAGGCCUACCAAGGCGACGAUCUGUAGCUGGUCUGAGAGGACGACCAGCCACACUGGGACUGAGACACGGCCCAGACUCCUACGGGAGGCAGCAGUGGGGAAUUUUGGACAAUGGGGGCAACCCUGAUCCAGCAAUGCCGCGUGUGUGAAGAAGGCCUUCGGGUUGUAAAGCACUUUUGUCCGGAAAGAAAACGCCGUGGUUAAUGCCCGUGGCGGAUGACGGUACCGAAGAAU
rnacentral:rRNA from 1 species